rnacentral:rRNA from 1 species
GUGGGGUAACGGCCUACCAAGGCGACGACGGGUAGCUGGUCUGAGAGGACGAUCAGCCACACUGGGACUGAGACACGGCCCAGACUCCUACGGGAGGCAGCAGUAGGGAAUCUUGCGCAAUGGGCGAAAGCCUGACGCAGCAACGCCGCGUGGGGGAUGAAGGCCUUCGGGUUGUAAACUCCUUUCAGUGGGAACGAAAAUGACGGUACCCACAGAAGAAGCCCCGGCCAACUACGUGCCAGCAGCCGCGGUGAUACGUAGGGGGCGAGCGUUGUCCGGAUUUAUUGGGCGUAAAGAGCUCGUAGGCGGUUUGGUUAGUCGGGUGUGAAACCUCCAGGCUUAACCUGGAGACGCCACCCGAUACUGCCAUGACUAGAGUCCGGUAGGGGACCAUGGAAUUCCUGGUGUAGCGGUGAAAUGCGCAGAUAUCAGGAGGAACACCAGUAGCGAAGGCGGUGGUCUGGGCCGGUACUGACGCUGAGGAGCGAAAGCGUGGGGAGCGACCAGGAUUAUAUACCCUGGUAGUCCAUCCACGUACCCGUUGGGCACUUGGUGUGGGGCUC